rnacentral:lncRNA from 1 species
AUUGUUCUGAGGCUGUAUCUUACGUAGUCAUGACCUGAAUACUUGAGUACCUUUCAAAGUAGUUUCUUUGCUUGGAUGGGGUUUUUUUCUUAGGCCAGUAAAGAGUCUGUUUAACUACUUUACCAUGUUACUUUUGGCAAGGAUGCAGAGCAGUAUUUCAAAAUGAUCUGUAUUUGGCAUUUUGAUCCUUAAUUCUGUACAGUUUAAUCCAUGCUGCAGUGAAGGAUGGGACGCAUACAGGUAGCAAGGUCUCUUUCCAGCCAGCUCCCUUUUGCAGCAUCGCCUGCGUUAAGGAUGUGCGUGUGUCUGAGCACACGGAGCAGGAGAGUGUGUGUGCACACCCUCAAAGAGGAAUAACAUAAAACCCAACACAGGGCCUGUACCUCAUGCUGAGCACUAGAAUUGAGUAUUCAUGGAAAGGAAUACAGCAGCUGUUCUGAUCUGAGCAACAUAAAGUUGUGUUUGCUGGGGUAAGAGUCUAACUUCUCCACACCAAUAAUCUUAAGGAAAGAAAACCAAGUUUCCUGGGCUGUUUCUGAGAACUAACUGAUCUCAAAUAUGAUCUGUUCUCUGCGAGCAAGCACAACCCGCUCCCCCAAAGCAACGCAGCCUCCCCUAAGCUUUAGAAAAGAGAUUUUCCUGUCAGCUGCUCAGCGCACAAUAAUUCUGAGGAAAAAUUAUUCCGAAUUCCCAGGUUUGUGGCAAGAACAAUAACAUGGAUCUACGGCUGCCUUCAUCAGGAAACUGCACACACCUGGAAUGUGCCUCUGCUGCAAUUAAUAACAAAUCAAUAUUAACAACUGCUCUACUUUUACAGGAGACGAAUACAUCUGAAAUACAUCAGGCUUAAGUUUUCCUUUUUCAUUCUGCUCCUGAGGUGGUGCUCAGUGUGCUCAGUUAUGGAGCGAGCCUGGCUCUUCCUUCUUGUGAUGCCGAGACACAAAAAGCUGAUGUACAGAUUCGUCUGUCUGAACAACCAAGAGCAGAUUUCGUUAUUUAUUUAUUUCAAGAUUCUACUUCUUGACCUCCAGCACAUCGGAGGGCUGCUGAAUUGCUUCUUUUAACACUUCAGUGCUUGAGGAAAAAUAGGACCGGUGCAGAGAAAAGAAAA